rnacentral:rRNA from 1 species
ACACGACUACAUUAGAUACCCGCGUAGUCCUAGCCGUAAACGAUACUCGCUAGGUGUCGGCCACGGUGCGACCGUUGUCGGUGCCGUAGGGAAGCCGUGAAGCGAGCCACCUGGGAAGUACGGCCGCAAGGCUGAAACUUAAAGGAAUUGGCGGGGGAGCACCACAACGGGUGGAGCUUGCGGUUUAAUUAGAUUCAACGCCGGAAAUCUUACCGGGACCGACAGCAACAUGAAGGCCAGGCUGAAGACUUUGCCGGAUUAGCUG